UUUUCAUUAUCACCCCCUCUGUCUGUGGAUGUGGCUGAAUAUGUGUCCUUGUCUCCCUGUCUGUCUGGUGUUCGAGUUCCUGACCUGUCCCCAUGUGUCCUGCCCUGGUUCUACCAGCCUGGCAUCUGGUCUGUCUCCAGAGUCAGUGUUCAACAAGUUUCUGAGCUGUGCUCUAUGGUGCCUUGUGUGGCCUUCUCUAUCAGCCUGGAAUUGCUACCCUCUCUGUUGGCCAAAUAUUCUGCCAGUUGUUUCCUGAAGCCUUCCCAGUGGCCUUCCCUAGCUGUUCUGUUUGUGUUCCUGUUGUGGUACUGUAUCUGUUGUGCACUUCACUACCUCUUGUAUCAGUCUGUCUCGUCAAUAAAACCUUGUUAUCUCACUACA